GACGAACGCUGGCGGCGUGCUUAACACAUGCAAGUCGAACGGAAAGGCCCUGCUUUUGUGGGGUGCUCGAGUGGCGAACGGGUGAGUAACACGUGAGUAACCUGCCCUUGACUUUGGGAUAACUUCAGGAAACUGGGGCUAAUACCGGAUAGGAGCUCCUGCUGCAUGGUGGGGGUUGGAAAGUUUCGGCGGUUGGGGAUGGACUCGCGGCUUAUCAGCUUGUUGGUGGGGUAGUGGCUUACCAAGGCUUUGACGGGUAGCCGGCCUGAGAGGGUGACCGGCAAAAUUGGAACGAGAAUACGGCCCGAACUCCUAGGGAGGGAAGAGGGGGGGAAUAUGGAACAAGGGGCGGAGGCCGGAUGAGGAAAGGCGGGGGGGGGAUGACGGCCUUCGGGUUGUAAACCGCUUUCGCCUGUGACGAAGCGUGAGUGACGGUAAUGGGUAAAGAAGCACCGGCUAACUACGUG
rnacentral:rRNA from 1 species